rnacentral:tRNA from 2 species
CGGGGCGUAGCGCAGCUUGGAUAGCGCACACCCUUGGGGUGGGUGUGGUCGGAGGUUCAAAUCCUCUCGCCCCGACCA